rnacentral:rRNA from 1 species
CCUUGGAAACGAGGUCUAAUACUGGAUACGAGACGCCCCUGCAUGGGGAGUGUCUGGAAAGAUUUAUCGGUCUGGGAUGGACUCGCGGCCUAUCAGCUUGUUGGUGGGGUAAUGGCCUACCAAGGCGACGACGGGUAGCCGGCCUGAGAGGGCGACCGGCCACACUGGGACUGAGACACGGCCCAGACUCCUACGGGAGGCAGCAGUGGGGAAUAUUGCACAAUGGGCGAAAGCCUGAUGCAGCGACGCCGCGUGAGGGAUGAAGGCCUUCGGGUUGUAAACCUCUUUCAGCAGGGAAGAAGCGCAAGUGACGGUACCUGCAGAAGAAGCGCCGGCUAACUACGUGCCAGCAGCCGCGGUAAUACGUAGGGCGCAAGCGUUGUCCGGAAUUAUUGGGCGUAAAGAGCUCGUAGGCGGUUUGUCGCGUCUGGUGUGAAAACUCAAGGCUCAACCUUGAGCUUGCAUCGGGUACGGGCAGACUAGAGUGCGGUAGGGGUGACUGGAAUUCCUGGUGUAGCGGUGGAAUGCGCAGAUAUCAGGAGGAACACCGAUGGCGAAGGCAGGUCACUGGGCCGCAACUGACGCUGAGGAGCGAAAGCAUGGGGAGCGAACAGGAUUAGAUACCCUGGUAGUCCAUGCCGUAAACGUUGGGCACUAGGUGUGGGGCUCAUUCCACGAGUUCCGUGCCGCAGCAAACGCAUUAAGUGCCCCGCCUGGGGAGUACGGCCGCAAGGCUAAAACUCAAAGGAAUUGACGGGGGCCCGCACAAGCGGCGGAGCAUGCGGAUUAAUUCGAUGCAACGCGAAGAACCUUACCAAGGCUUGACAUACACCGGAAACUUCCAGAGAUGGUUGCCCCGCAAGGUCGGUGUACAGGUGGUGCAUGGUUGUCGUCAGCUCGUGUCGUGAGAUGUUGGGUUAAGUCCCGCAACGAGCGCAACCCUCGUCUUAUGUUGCCAGCACGUCAUGGUGGGGACUCAUAAGAGACUGCCGGGGUCAACUCGGAGGAAGGUGGGGAUGACGUCAAAUCAUCAUGCCCCUUAUGUCUUGGGCUUCACGCAUGCUACAAUGGCCGGUACAAAGGGCUGCGAUACCGCGAGGUGGAGCGAAUCCCAAAAAGCCGGUCUCAGUUCGG